GUCCUAAACAUCAGGGAAAUAUCCCUCCUCCUGAUCCAGGAACUGAUGGUGUUGGCAGCAAUUCACUGGAGGCUCUGGCAGGGUUUGGAACAUGGAAAGUUUACUGUGGUUGGCAAAGACUCAGAUUUUGGUUUUAGGCUGUUAUUUCCACACACCCUCCCCCAUCCUCUCCAUAUGGAACAGAAUAAAGUUAAGAAACAUCAUUUUCAAAGAAUAAAGACUUGGAUGGAGCCCAUGUUUUCUUGUGAGUCUGCUACAGCUGUUAAUUUGUGGAAAACCUCAGUGGAAGGGUGAAUUAAGGCAGCAUUCUUGGAUGCAUGGGAUCUCAGUCUCGUGGUCAGAGUGAAAUAAUGUGUUGGGAAGAAAGAGGAAGCCAGAGAUGGGCUGUCCCUUUGAGGAGUCUGGGAGAGGAAGAUCAAGGAGUUUGGGGAAUGGAAAGUACUCUGUGGAUGGGCAUGAUGUUUUCUGGAGGCGUCUGAAAUUGGCAACUGUUGGGUCUACCACAUCCUCUGCUGCUCUCUCUGCCUUGGAAUCCUGGGAGGCUCCAGGACAAGUGCAGUGGUUACUGAACCUCAAGAGGAGGAAACUACAUAGAAACAGAAAAUUGGUUGCUAGUUUUGGAAGAAGAGUUGAAAAAAACCUAAGCAGAUUCUUUACAUAUUUACUCUGCAUCAAAUUCUGAAUCAUAGAAAUGUGGUGUAUCGCGAAUGAGGUGGAGGAUUCCAGGAAGAGAAAAGAGUCUCAUGGUGAAGACAACUGAAUGCUGCCCUGGAGAACUGAAUUCUAUCACUGCUCCUGCCACAGUUACUAUGUGAUGCUGGGCAAACUACUUAAAAAAGCUUUUCACAGGGACCAGUGUGAGCUGCAGCAGUGUGUGUGUCUCCAUUCUGUGCCACAGAUAUGCCCUGAAGAGGAUAAACUGCUUUGGGGGUUGCUACCUUCUCUACUGAGCAUGUCAAUUUUGGAGGCUUGUUUUUCUGGAGAACUCCACAAGGAAUUGGAGUGAGACCAACCAACUCAUUUCAUGAAGGCCAUUGAAGAAUCAUCAUCUGGUGACACUUUUCAGUCACUACCAACCUGCCCAGAACUUGACCUGGCGGAUGAGAGACUCUGUAUUUUAUAGCUAAUCCCCAGAGUUAAACAGUCCAUAAUUAACAGCAAUAUUAUUAGUUCAUGUGUUUUUCAUUUUACACAGACAAUGUCAUUCUGUAUGAUAUCAUCUGAGGUGAAUGCGCUGCCCACCAUGUCUUCCUUAUCUACCUCCCACUCCCAGUAUCUUCUAGAACCCUUUUAAAUAAUAACCGUCAGAUUCUAUGUGCAGUGCAAUUUCACUGACUUCAGUGAGGCUGUUCUGGUAUCACUGAGUGACGACCAUAAUAGUAUUCUAUGGUCACAUUAAAUCUUCUCAUUGGACUUGA